UUUGACCUGGAGGGGCUGACUGGCUGCUUUCCAUUAGUGGCUGUUUCUACCUUGUCUUUCCCAUCCUACCUGCUUACCUGAUGUCUUCUUGUCAUCUACUGAGCUUCCUGGUACAAAAACAAUCAUCAGAAUUUCACCUGAAUAUAUAGAUGGAGAACCGGCUCAACGUUUUGGCCAGCAUUAUGCCCUCUAGCUCCAGUGUAGCAAUGCCUUUAUUAUGAACAAGUUCAUCCUCAGUGAUAUCCAUUUCAGUCUUUGGGAUGGUGUGUUCACUAACAUGGUCAGGUACCAUUAUAAUGAUCAAAUCUACCAACCACUUAAUCAUAGUUAUAUGGAUUUCAUUCAGCUGUGGAAAGAAAAAAUAUUCUUUUAAAAGAUUAGAAUUCAGAUGAACUAUUUUAACUUCACUGCAUUUAGUUAAUGAAAAUGUGUUCAAUGUGACUUGAAUGGUAGUAGAGCACUUGGUGAAAUGAAAUUCAUGAUCUAAUUUCAUUAUAACAUAGUUCCAGGCUUCUUUUUUUACUUCAAGCUUCUGUCUCCCUAUCUUGAGAUUUGUUUAAGAUGUUAACAAGGGGCAUGGUUCUGCAGCCACUGAAAGAGGGUCGUUUCUUUAGGAGUAUGUGUGAUGGGAAGUAUAUUAAGUACAGCACUUACUAAGUCCGCAAUUAAAAUGCAUAAUUUAUAAAAUUCAAA